UAAUCAGUUUCAUUAAGUGGUGCAUAGAUUAUGUUAACAUCAUUCAUGUGGAUUGUACUAUGCAGGGAAGAUAUUGGAAUGAGCCUUAGACUUGUGGUCAACUACAGUGGCAUGAAAAUUAAUACAGUUAAAGGAGUUAUCAGAUUUGCGUUUGAGUUCCAAAUUUUUGUUGUGGAGUUUAAAGUGUACAUGUAAUUAUAUGAGAUUUGUAUUAGAUUUUGUUCUAAGUGUACUAGAAUUUAGUUCUAGAAUUAUUUUUUUACUUGUAUCAACAUUUAUUAUUAAUAAUAAUUGAAUUGAUUAA